rnacentral:rRNA from 1 species
UACGGGAGGCAGCAGUGGGGAAUAUUGCACAAUGGGCGCAAGCCUGAUGCAGCCAUGCCGCGUGUAUGAAAAAGGCCUUCGGGUUGUAAAGUACUUUCAGUCGUGAGGAAGGUGUUAAGGUUAAUAACCUUAGCAAUUGACGUUAGCGACAGAAGAAGCACCGGCUAACUCCGUGCCAGCAGCCGCGGUAAUACGGAGGGUGCGAGCGUUAAUCGGAAUUACUGGGCGUAAAGGGCACGCAGGCGGUUAAUUAAGUUGGAUGUGAAAUCCCCGGGCUUAACCUGGGAAUGGCAUUCAAGACUGGUUAGCUAGAGUCUUGUAGAGAGGGGUAGAAUUCCAUGUGUAGCGGUGAAAUGCGUAGAGAUGUGGAGGAAUACCGGUGGCGAAGGCGGCCCCUGGACAAAGGACUGACGCUCAUGUGCGAAAGCGUGGGGAGCAAAC